rnacentral:rRNA from 1 species
UCGUAGGUGACCCUGCGGAAGGAUCAUUAUUGAAUU